rnacentral:rRNA from 1 species
UACGGAGGAUGCGAGCGUUAUCCGGAUUUAUUGGGUUUAAAGGGUGCGUAGGCGGACUGUCAAGUCAGCGGUAAAAUUGAGCGGCUCAACCUCUUCCCGCCGUUGAAACUGGUGGUCUUGAGUGGAUGAGAAGUACGCGGAAUGCGUGGUGUAGCGGUGAAAUGCAUAGAUAUCACGCAGAACUCCGAUUGCGAAGGCAGCGUACCGGCAUCCAACUGACGCUGAGGCACGAAAGCGUGGGGAUCAAACAGG